ensembl:lncRNA
GUCUCCAUUGUGUUGUGUUAAUUUCUUUGUGUUGCUACUUGUUUCACUUGUUUACAUUGUGUUGUGGCUUGUUUACAUUGUGUUGCAGCUUGUCUCUGUUGUGUUGUGGCUUGUCUCCAUUGUGUAGUGGCUUGUCUCCAUUGUGUUGUGUUAAUUUCUUUGUGUUGAGACUUGUUUCCUUUGUUUUGCGACUUAUUUCGCUUGUUUCCAUUGUGUUGUGGCUUGUUUUAAUUGUGUUGCGGCGUGUCUCCAUUGUGUUGUGGCUUGUUUCAAUUGCAUUGCGGCAUGUCUCCAUUGUGUUGUGGCUUGUUUCCACUGUUUUGCGGCUUGUCACAGUUGUGUUGUGGCUUGUUUACAUAGUGUUGCGACUUGUUUUGCUUGUCUCCAUUGUGUUGUGUUAAUUUCUUUGUGUUGCGACUUGUUUCACUUGUUUACAUUGUGUUGUGGCUUGUUUCCAUUGUGUUGCAGCUUGUCUCUGUUGUGUUGUGGCUUGUCUCAGUUGUGUUGUGGCUUGUUUCCAUAGUGUUGCGACUUGUUUUGCUUGUCUCCAUUGUGUUGUGUUAAUUUCUUUGUGUUGAGACUUGUUUCCUUUGUUUUGCGACUUAUUUCGCUUGUUUCCAUUGUGUUUUGGCUUGUUUCAAUUGUGUUGCGGCGUGUCUCCAUUGUGUUGUGGCUUGUCUCCACUGUGUUGCGGCUUGUCUCAGUUGUGUUGUGGCUUGUUUACAUUGUGUUUGGCUUGUUUCCAUUGUGUUGUGCUAAUUUCUUUGUAUUGAGACUUGUUUACUUUGUUUUGCGACUUGUUUCGCUUGUUUCCAUUGUGUUGUGGCUUGUUUCAGUUGUGUUGCAGCGUGCCUCCAUUGUGCUUCGCUUGUUUCCAUUGUGUUGCGGCUUGUCUCGAUUUUGUUGUGGCUUGUUUCCAUUGUGUUGCGUCUUGUUUUGAUUGUCUCCAUUGUGUUGUGUUAAUUUCUUUGUGUUGCAACUUGUUUCACUUGUAUCCAUUGUGUAGCGGCUUGUUUCCAUUGUGUUGCGACUUGAUUCUGUUGUGUUGUGGCUUGUCUCCAUUGUGUUGCGGCUUGUUUCCAUUGUGAUGGAACUUGUUUUGCUUGUCUCCAAUGUGUUGUGGCUUGCCUGCAUUGUGAUGUGGCUUGUUUCCACUGUGUUGAGCUUUGUUUCCAUUGUGUUGCGACUUGUUUCACUUGUUUCCAUUGUGUUGCGGCUUGUCUCCAAUAUGUUGCGGCUUGUGUCCACUGUGUUGCGGCUUAUCUCUGUUGUGUUGUGACUUGUCUCCAUUGUGUAGUGGCUUGUUUCCAUUGAGUUGUGCUAAUUUACAGGUCCUUCUCAAAAAAUUAGCAUAUUGUGAAAAAGUUUAUUAUUUUCCAUAAUGUAAUGAUAAAAAUUAAACUUUCAUAUAUUUUAGAUUCAUUGCACACCAACUGAAAUAUUUCAGGUCUUUUAUUGUUUUAAUACUGAUGAUUUUGGCAUACAGCUCAUGAAAAC